GACGAACCGUGCGAACGUUAUUCGGAAUCACUGGGCUUAAAGCGCGUGUAGGCGGGCCGGCACGUCGGUCGCUGAAAUCCCCCGGCUCAACCGGGGAAGGGGCGCCGAUACGACCGGCCUGGAGGGGCGUAGGGGGACCGGGAACUUCCGGUGGAGCGGUGAAAUGCGUUGAGAUCGGAAGGAACGCCCGUGGCGAAAGCGCGGUCCUGGACGCCUGCUGACGGCUGAGACGCGAAAGCCAGGGGAGCGAACAGG
rnacentral:rRNA from 1 species